CCAAAACGGAGUAUCACAUUCUUCAGAUUCUUGUCUGAAAGCCAGAAAGGCAGGCGGGCGGGGGCGGGGGCGGGGGUGGGGGUGGGAGGUGUAGGGGGUGUGGGGCUCUCUGCCAUUUCAACCUAAGGAUAAUUAAAGCCUGCAACUUGCUUUAAAGGGGAAGAGAGUCACCAUUUUUCAGCCUCUAACACACAGAUCUGUCUCAGGUGUGCAGGGAAGAAGGUUGGAGGUGUGAAGCCACAACGACGAAAAGGCCUGAUGAAUUCCACCGUGCUCGGCGGCCAGUAAUUAAUCCCAUGAUGAGGCAUUCUUCAUGAGCACUUGGCAAGGCGCAGCUACCUCCUCCUCACCCUGACCUGGUACUGAUCCAAAACCCGACAACAGACUGGAGUGGGGACCCGGUGAGGUUGGCAAAACCUGAAACAGGACCACAGAAGUCUCCAAGUGACCACAUCCCACCCUGGCCUUCUCACUCUCCGGGAAGAUAACAGAAUUCCUGCCAAGCAGCUCCCUUGAGCUGGGAGCUGGGGCUAGUGGGGAACAGGACAGCAAAGAGAUGGAAAGAGUGAAGAAAUGACAGCAAGGAAGUCA
rnacentral:lncRNA from 1 species